GAACGCUGGCGGCAUGCCUAAUACAUGCAAGUCGAGCGAACAGAUGAAGUGCUUGCACUUCUGACGUUAGCGGCGAACGGGUGAGUAACACGUAAGGAAUCUACCUAUAAGCGGGGGAUAACAUUCGGAAACGGGUGCUAAUACCGCAUAAUAUCUUCUUCCGCAUGGAAGAAGAUUGAAAGACGGCUCUGCUGUCACUUAUAGAUGACCUUGCGGUGCAUUAGUUAGUUGGUGGGGUAAUGGCCUACCAAGACGAUGAUGCAUAGCCGACCUGAGAGGGUGAUCGGCCACAUUGGGACUGAGACACGGCCC
rnacentral:rRNA from 1 species